CGUGCUUAACACAUGCAAGUCGAACGCGAAAGGGACUUCGGUCCUGAGUAAAGUGGCGCACGGGUGAGUAACGCGUAGAUAACCUGUCUUCAUGUCUGGAAUAAUACGCCGAAAGGGGUACUAAUACCGGAUAUUCUUGCUUUUCAUAAGUUAUGCAAGCAAAGGUGGCCUCUGCAUAUGCUACUGCAUGGAGAGGGGUCUGCGUACCAUUAGCUAGUAGGUGGGGUAAUGGCCUACCUAGGCGACGAUGGUUAGCGGGUCUGAGAGGAUGAUCCGCCACACUGGCACUGGAACACGGGCCAGACUCCUACGGGAGGCAGCAGUGAGGAAUAUUGCGCAAUGGGGGAAACCCUGGCGCAGCGACGCCGCGUGAGUGAGGAAAGGCCUUCGGGUCGUAAAGCUCUGUCAAGAGGAAAGAAGUGUACAAUGGCUAAUACCUGUUGUAUUUGACGGUACCUCUAAAGGAAGCACCGGCUAACUCCGUGCCAGCAGCUGC
rnacentral:rRNA from 1 species